UACGUAGGCGCGAGCGUUGAUUCGGAAUGUACUGGGCGAAAGGGUGCGCAGGCGGCGUCGCAAGUCAGGCGUGAAAUCCCCGGGCUUAACCUGGGAACUGCAGUCGAUACUGGCGGACUAGAGUACGGUAGAGGGUGGCGGAACUCCGGGUGUAGCGGUGAAAUGCGUAGAUAUCCGGAAGAACACCGAUGGCGAAGGCAACCACCUGGGCCUGUACUGACGCUGAGGUACGAAAGCGUGGGGAGCAAACAGG
rnacentral:rRNA from 1 species